GACAGAGGUUGCAAACGUUGUUCGGAAUUACUGGGCAUAAAGAGCACGUAGGCCGUCCGCUAAGUCAGGUGUGAAAGCCCGAGGCUCAACCUCGGAAUUGCGCCUGAAACUACAUGGCUAGAGUACUGGAGAGGGUAGCGGAAUUCAUGGUGUAGCAGUGAAAUGCGUAGAUAUCAUGAGGAACACCAGAGGCGAAGGCGGCUACCUGGACAGUUACUGACGCUCAGGCACGAAAGCGUGGGGAGCAAAAGGG
rnacentral:rRNA from 1 species